rnacentral:rRNA from 1 species
AAGAAAACUGACGGAGCCGUCAGGAGCCUUCGAGAUCAGUCGUACGAUUCGUGAAUGCGCGCCGGCCGUAGAACGAAAGCCUACCCGGUGCGUGUGAUCGAGUAGCGAUCGAACGGCGCAUUUCUCGGAGGUAAGCACUGCGACCGAUACGCAUUCAGGCCAGCGAGGCGACUUUGAUUGAGGUCGAGACUCGUAAGAGACUCGUAACCAGUCUAGUCGCGCGUAAAUCACUGGACCUGCGUAUCGAGGAUCGUGCGCUAGUGAUAUGUCGGCGUAAACGCUCGUUCGAGCGACGGAUAGUCGAUCGAUAGUCGUUCGGUAGCUGCUCGCAGUUGCCGGCGUAUCCGGUCGAUUCUGAAGUCGUCGACGACUAUAAGACAUAUCGGCGUCGGCAGUGUCAGUGUCGGCCACCCGUCGGACCCGUCUUGAAACACGGACCAAGGAGUCUAACAUAUGCGCGAGCUAAUGGGCGUAAAAACCCAUAGGCGAAAUAAAAGUAAACGCCGUCUCAGACGGCUAAGAUACGAUCCUAGAGUCCACGCGACGUCUAGGCGCAGUAUCGUCCCGUCUCGACCGCACGUCGGUAGGGCGGAGAUAGAGUGCAUACGUUGGGACCCGAAAGAUGGUGAACUA